UGCUGGCUCUCCUUGGAGUGCAUGUGCACGCUUCUUUAUUUCUCCAACUGUGCACGAAUUGUAGGCCCCUGGUCUAUGUUUUUCACAAUCUCUGAAUGUAUUAGAAUGGGUUGUAAUAAAUAAUAUUAUACAACUUUCAGCAACGGAUCUCUUGGCUCUCGCAUCGAUGAAGAACGCAGCGAAAUGCGAUAAGUAAUGUGAAUUGCAGAAUUCAGUGAAUCAUCGAAUCUUUGAACGCAUCUUGCGCUCCUUGGUAUUCUGAGGAGCAUGCCUGUUUGAGUGUCAUUUAAAACUUCUCAACUGCUUUUAUGCAGCUUGGAAAAUGGGGGAUUUGCAGGCUUUUGGUUGUCUGCUCCCCUGAAAUGUAUUAGUGGUGUUUUGGCAAAACUGACCACAGGUGUGAUAACUAUCAAUACCUUGGUUGUAUCUGCUGCUGCUGCUUUAACCCUAAAUGACCAACUUGACCUCAAAUCAGGUAGGAUUACCCGCUGAACUUAAGCAUAUCAAUAAGCGGAGGAAAAAGAAACUAACAAGGAUUCCCCUAGUAACUGCGAGUGAAGCGGGAAGAGCUCAAAUUUGAAAUCUGAUGGUUGAUAACCGUCCGAGUUGUAAUCUAGAGAAGUGUUACCUGUGCUGGACCGUGUACAAGUCUUCUGGAAUGGAGCAUCAUAGAGGGUGAGAAUCCCGUCUUUGACAUGGACUACCGGUACGUUGUGGUACGCUCUCAAAGAGUCGA
rnacentral:rRNA from 1 species